rnacentral:rRNA from 1 species
CAGCAGCCGCGGUAAAACGGAGGGGGCUAGCGUUGUUCGGAAUUACUGGGCGUAAAGCGCACGUAGGCGGUUGGUACAGUCAGAUGUGAAAUUCCUGGGCUUAACCUGGGGGCUGCAUUUGAUACUGUCGAUCUCGAGUCCGGAAGAGGUGAGUGGAACUCCUAGUGUAGAGGUGGAAUUCGUAGAUAUUAGGAAGAACACCAGUGGCGAAGGCGGCUCACUGGUCCGGUACUGACGCUGAGGUGCGAAAGCGUGGGGAGCAAACAGGAUUAGAUACCCGCGUAGUCCCUGUCUCUUAUAC